AGUUUGAUCCUGGCUCAGGACGAACGCUGGCGGCGUGCUUAACACAUGCAAGUCGAACGAUGAACCACUUCGGUGGGGAUUAGUGGCGAACGGGUGAGUAACACGUGGGCAAUCUGCCCUGCACUCUGGGACAAGCCCUGGAAACGGGGUCUAAUACCGGAUACUGACCCGCUUGGGCAUCCAAGCGGUUCGAAAGCUCCGGCGGUGCAGGAUGAGCCCGCGGCCUAUCAGCUUGUUGGUGAGGUAAUGGCUCACCAAGGCGACGACGGGUAGCCGGCCUGAGAGGGCGACCGGCCACACUGGGACUGAGACACGGCCCAGACUCCUACGGGAGGCAGCAGUGGGGAAUAUUGCACAAUGGGCGAAAGCCUGAUGCAGCGACGCCGCGUGAGGGAUGACGGCCUUCGGGUUGUAAACCUCUUUCAGCAGGGAAGAAGCGAAAGUGACGGUACCUGCAGAAGAAGCGCCGGCUAACUACGUGCCAGCAGCCGCGGUAAUACGUAGGGCGCGAGCGUUGUCCGGAAUUAUUGGGCGUAAAGAGCUCGUAGGCGGCUUGUCACGUCGGUUGUGAAAGCCCGGGGCUUAACCCCGGGUCUGCAGUCGAUACGGGCAGGCUAGAGUUCGGUAGGGGAGAUCGGAAUUCCUGGUGUAGCGGUGAAAUGCGCAGAUAUCAGGAGGAACACCGGUGGCGAAGGCGGAUNUCUGGGCCGAUAC
rnacentral:rRNA from 1 species